GAUUGAACGCUGGCGGCGUGCUUAACACAUGCAAGUCGUGCGAGAAAGUCCGCUUCGGUGGAUGAGUAGAGCGGCGCACGGGUGAGUAACGCGUGGAUUAUCUGCCCCCCAGAUCGGGAUAACAGUGGGAAACCGCUGCUAAUACCGGAUACGCUUUGUGGUUAGCUACAAGGGAAAGGCGGCCUCUAUUUAUAAGCUGCCACUGGGGGAUGAGUCCGCGUCCCAUUAGCUUGUUGGUGGGGUAACGGCCCACCAAGGCGACGAUGGGUAGCUGGUCUGAGAGGAUGAUCAGCCACACUGGGACUGGAACACGGCCCAGACUCCUACGGGAGGCAGCAGUGGGGAAUAUUGCGCAAUGGGCGAAAGCCUGACGCAGCGACGCCGCGUGAGGGAAGAAGGCCUUCGGGUCGUAAACCUCUGUCAGGAGGGAAGAACAUCAUGUGUUCGAACAGGGCGCAUGACUGACGGUACCUCCAGAGGAAGCACCGGCUAACUCCGUGCCAGCAGCCGCGGUAAUACGGAGGGUGCGAGCGUUAAUCGGAAUCACUGGGCGUAAAGCGCACGUAGGCGGCCGUACAAGUCGGGUGUGAAAGCCCUCGGCUCAACCGAGGAAUAGCACUCGAAACUGUAUGGCUUGAGUUCUGGAGAGGGUGGCGGAAUUCCCGGUGUAGGAGUGAAAUUCGUAGAUAUCACGACGAACACCGGUGGCGAAAGCGACUUCCUGGACCAAUACUGACGCUGAGGCGCGAAGGCGUGGGGAGCAAACAGGA
rnacentral:rRNA from 1 species